rnacentral:lncRNA from 1 species
UCCUAGGCUCUGAGGUUUAACCCACAGCGCCACCCGCGUCCCACACACCACUGUAAUCCCCACAUAAUGAAACACACAAAAAUCAAGUUGCAGUGUUUUGUGACCUCUGGAACUUUCUAGAGGUUAUACCCCAGAACCUUCUCCCCCCCCCCCCCGAGGUGGAAAGCUGCUUACUGGGUUUGGGAAGGUCGUGGAAGGGCCUUGAGAGAUUCCCAGGGCCCUCAUGUGACCUUCCCAAACCCUGGUAAUUGAGGAAGUGCCUUCCUUACCAGCCUCUAGGAUGUUCCCAGCAGCAAAAGGGGGUGUGACAGUGGGGAGGAAAGGACAGCACAUUCUUGUUUCACCUCAGAUUGUGAAAUGGAAUGGGCCGCCCCUGCCAGUAUGUAUGAAUUUUAUUAAAUGAAUAAAUACCGUAAAUAGUAGCCAUUUAUAGACUUAUCAUCCAUGAAUUUGUGCUCUUUUUUAAAGUCCCCCACUUGGUGGCCAUUACUGCCUCCUCUGAGAGUAAGCUCCAUAGCUUAACUAUGGCAGUGCAUAAAGAAAUUCUUGCUUCUAUCUUUAAAUGUUUAAAUUCUAUCUUUUGAAUCUUUAAAUGUUCAGCUAGGUUUUUUGUUGUUGUUUUUUGUGAGCAACUAGAAGGUCCAUCUGCAUGGAUAUACUUCAAAAGUUGAUUCAGUAUAGCCCAAAUAAACAAAAACACUAACAAAACCUCUUACUGGUAGUAAUAUCAAUGUGAAGAUCUUUAAUGAUUAAUGUACAUACAUUUUAGCAGGUAUUUCAGCACUGAUUUAGGGUCACCUGAAUCCAUUUUCUUUGGUGGAAAACACCAUUUCCUCCCCUUUACUUCUUUUCCAAGUACAGCUGGGCCUUAGAGCCAUAUUUCUACAAGGAAACAAUGGGAAAAGUUCAAAACUCGUUGACACAUUUAUAAUACUUCUCCCAAGGCUAUAAAAAGCUGCUUUAUAGGAUUCAGACCAAUGGUCCAUCUAGAUCAGGACUAUCAACAGCUGUCUGGGGAAGGGUCCCAGGCAAAGGUCCUUCUGAAGCCAGCUACCCAAAAGCCUUCAAGUGGAAAUGGCAGUGACUUAACCUGAAACCUCGUAAAUGCAAAAAAUAAAAAGCUGGUAAAGCAGUCUGCAUUACCAUCUGCUCCUGUGUUGUAAGUGAAAAACAUAGACAAGUAUUUUAUGAAAAUUGGUUGUGAAUGUUGCCACAACAUCCGUCACUUUAUAUGCAAGUGAAAUUCCUGUCUGAGCAGGUGACCUAUGGAAAUGGGGGCAAAAAGUAUAUAAAGAGAGAAAUCAAUAGCAAUAGCAAUUUUCUUGCCUUGGGAAUGACUUUCUGAGAAUAAUUUAUUUCAAACAAGCAGAAUCACCUUGUUUUAUGACAAUGUAGUAAUCUCAAGGUUCGUGUAUUAAGACUUCUCCCCUCCUUAUUAAAGAGAGAUCCAGAAGUCAUAUAAAAUAUGUUAACCUGUUAAAACAACCCAGUGACUAACGUCUAUUUUCAAAAACUGUGCUGUAAAUCAUGAUUUAUGCUGUACAGAAAAUUAAUAUUUUCUACUGAUAUAUUCCUUUUAUGGCCUCUCUUUUCAUACAUUAGGUUGUUUUACUGCUCAUUUCUAUAACUGGGUUAAGGCAUUCUUUUACUUCUUUGCUUGCCUGUAUUCACAUAAUCUGUUUUAUAGCAGUAAAAGGUGAAAGGUAUGAAGGGAAUCAAAGAGGACUCCAUUAAUCUUAUACCUUUUAGCAAUAAACCAUUUGCACGACAGGUUAGAACCACACAAAUGGAGAGAGCUGUUCCUAUAGACUGCCUCACAAUUAUGGAGUAUUGCCAUGUCCUCACAGGUCUGCCAGUAUUUAUUUAUUCAUAAUUACAUUUAUACCCCACCUUUCCUCUUAGGAUCUCUGGGGGGCAUACUCCCUCUCCCCCUUCUCCACCUUAUCCUCACAACAGCCCUAUGAUGUACGUCGUGCUGGGAGAUAGUUACUGGUCCAAGGAAGUGAGUUUCCGGGCUGAGCAAGAAUGUUAACCUGGGUCUCCCCUGUCCUCGUAUGCCAUCAGUGUUAUGCUACAGGCCUAUAAAUUAGUGAGGCAAAGGGUAACUGAGCCUAGGGAUGUUCGGGGCCUAUGUCUUUCAGUUGCCAGGUUCACCUGUGUCUAGUUUUCUGGUAUAUUGAGAAUCAGUUCAGUGCCACAUUGCAGUUCUCUGAGCCUAGGAUUUCUUUGGCCUGGAGACAUGUGGCACUAUAUUUUCCAUGCAUACUCAGUGUGAAUUGCAGAAUUCAUUUUGAAAUCCAAUAACUCCAUACUGGGUUGUGGGCUUGUAAGAACAAAGCAACCCAUGAUUGGCUCUGCCAGACUUUCUGGAGAGGUUCUGCUGAUUCCUAGAUAUGGGACUUAACAAGGUAGGGGUGUGGUGUGUGUGUGUGUGUGUGUGUGAGAGAGAGAGAGAGAGAGAGAGAGAGAGAGAGAGAGAGAGAGUGCUUUAUAAGGUGACCAGAAACCUUUGAACCUUCUGUGCAGGGCCAACCUAUCCAUGUGGCAGACUGAGGCAGCUGCCUCGGGUGGCGGAAUUCAUGAGGCAGUGUCCCAUGCACUGCCACCACAGAAGAAGUGGCUGCAGUGGCAGCUUCCAGGUUCCAGCAAGAUCUCUUGUAGUCCUGUCAUGAGAUCUCACCAGAAGCUGCUGCUUCUUCGUCUCUGCUGCCAUGGGUACCCUGCCCACCCCGCCACCACCUGGAGAAGCAAGAAGCAGCAGCUGUGGCUUCCAGCAAGAUCUCAACAGGCUCCUGCAAGAUCUCAAUGCUAGCAGCCGCAGCCACUAUAGCCAUGGCACCCCACCUGCCACUGCUGCUGCUGAAGUAGCAAGAAGAAAUGAAUGUGGUGGUGGCUUCCAGAAUCCAGUGAGAUCUCAUGGACCUCUUAUGAGAUCUUCCUGGAACCCAGACACUGUUCCUGCACCACCUAGAUAAUUGAGGCUUUGGUGCAGUGUGUGCGUGCGGCAUCUUCUUGUUUCACCUCAGGUGGUGAAACAGGACAGGCUACCCCUACUCUUGUUCAUAGUGGAGAAUUAUCUUGCAGUUAUGAGAUGCCUGCCAAAGCACUGCCAAAGCCCGAGGAAAGACAGAGCAUCAACACAGCAGUCAGACAGAUGCUAGAAAUCUCAUAGGUCCCAACUACUAUUCAAGACCUCACUUGAU